AUCCCGUGAUGAGGACAGGCGGCAACGUACUCCUGUAGACACUCCCAUGCUUCGAGAAUCGACUCAUCCUUUGUCUACUGGAACCUGAAAUCCUCCCGCGAAGGGC
rnacentral:snoRNA from 1 species